CCUACGGGUGGCUGCAGUGGGGAAUAUUGGACAAUGGGGGGAACCCUGAUCCAGCCAUGCCGCGUGUGUGAAGAAGGCCCUCGGGUUGUAAAGCACUUUCAGUGAGGAAGAACGCCUGGUGGUUAAUACCCAUCAGGAAAGACAUCACUCACAGAAGAAGCACCGGCUAACUCCGUGCCAGCAGCCGCGGUAAUACGGAGGGUGCGAGCGUUAAUCGGAAUUACUGGGCGUAAAGCGCGCGUAGGUGGCUUGAUAAGCCGGUUGUGAAAGCCCCGGGCUCAACCUGGGAACGGCAUCCGGAACUGUCAAGCUAGAGUGCAGGAGAGGAAGGUAGAAUUCCCGGUGUAGCGGUGAAAUGCGUAGAGAUCGGGAGGAAUACCGGUGGCGAAGGCGGCCUUCUGGACCGACACUGACACUGAGGUGCGAAAGCGUGGGUAGCGAACAGGAUUAGAUACCCUUGUAGUC
rnacentral:rRNA from 1 species